rnacentral:rRNA from 1 species
AACGUAGGUGGCGAGCGUUAUCCGGAUUCAUUGGGCGUAAAGAGCUUGUAGGUGGCUUCGUAAGUUGGACGUGAAAUCUCCAGGCUUAACUUGGAGACGCCGUUCAAUACUGCGGGGCUUGAGGAUGUCAGAGGGAAGUGGAAUUCCUGGUGUAGCAGUGAAAUGCGUAGAUAUCAGGAGGAACACCCGUGGCGAAGGCGGCUUCCUGGGGCAUUCCUGACACUGAGAAGCGAAAGCUAGGGGAGCAAACGGG